GUGCUCGCUUUGGCAGCACAUACACUAAAAUUGGAAUGAUACAGAGAUUAGCAUGGCCCCUGCGCCAGGAUGGCAUUAAAAAAAUUAUUAAAAAAGAAGGAAAU